CAAAAAUUAGCUGGGCAUGGUGAUGCACCUGUAGUCCCAGCUACUCUGAGGCUGAGGCAGGAGAAUCGCUUGAACCCAGGAGAUGGAGAUCACAGUGAACCGAGAACACGCCGCUGCGCUCCAGCCUGGAUCAAACAUCAAACUGCCAAAGACAGAAAAUUAUUUACUGAUGUACAUUAUUUGACAAACUAUUCAAAGGAAUGACCCCACUAUUUAUGCAGUUUUAAGCAGAGAAGGAGAGUCUCCAGGAACUAUACGAAUUAAUCAACUUGAGCAAUCAGCCUGUUUUACAGCCUCCUGCCUUGGAGACUACUUUUUCCAAAACUCUAUGUGGGAUGUGGUCACCUAGUUGGUUGGAACCAGCUCCUGACAGACCCCAGCAACUGACAGAUGAACCUGAGUGAACUUUCCUCAUUAUCAUGCUAAAGUCUCCAUCCCGAAAGGAACUAUAGCUUCAUUACCAGAACAUGCAACCUUUGUGCUGGCAUAAAGGCUCACUGCGUCUAAAGCAACUGGGACCCGUCCCGUACAUGUGAUGAUGCACACUCUCCUCUCUCCAUAGCGCCAUAAACUCUCUCAGGGAGACACUGCUUUGAGGAAUGCUUCCUUACUUGUGCUAAGUAAUAAAACUCCUAUUGAUUAAAAUUUACAUUCUUGUGGAUUCGUUUGUUACUGGACAAGUGAGUGAAUUCAUUUUUUUUCAGGUUAGUCAUCAAAAUAAACUUUGUGGAUAUGAUUGUACAUUACUUAUUCUUUUAUUCUCAUACCUCCAUUUAUAUUCAUGUUCUGUUAAUUCUACAUUCCUAAAGAAUUAAACUUUCUCUUCCAAAAGAUCUAUUAUGGCCUUUAUACAAUGUCUUUAUAAUUUUCUAUGAGAACUAUUGAAGUAGCUGCCUAAUUAAUAUCUCCGUCUUAGGUUUGUAACCUUUUUGUUCAUUUUCUAGUCUUCUAUCAAAGUAAUCUUUCUCAAAUAUAAAUCUGGUCAUAUUUGUUCCAUGCUUACAUCUCUUUGAUUACUUCCCAUUAUCUACUAAAAAAUGUUCAAAUGUCUGGCUCGAGAAACAUGAUCUUCUUGAUGAUUUUGCUGGCUUUUUCAUCUUCAUUUUCUACUUGUGACCCCUUGAAUCCAACAAACCAGUUAUAAUAAAGCAUGCUUUUCUUCAUCAUUUGCUACCUUUUCAUGGAAUAUCUUAUCCUUUGCCCUCCAUUUCCCUUAUAUCUUCUCUUUGUAGAUCAAGUUCAAGCAAUAUGUUCUCUGUGAAGUUUUUCCUGACUAGUCCUAAUGCAACUACCUCUCAAAGUUAUGUUAAUAGCAGACCUUCCCUUUACAUAACUCCAUGCUAUACAGACCUCUCUUAUAUUACCUACAGUAUAUUUCCAUGUUUUUUUAUCUUGCUAGCCUGUAAGACCUCUAAGGCUAUUACUCAUUUUUGUAAUAUCAAAAGUACAAGUUAUAUAUGGUAUGUAAUGAGUGAUUAAAACAUUUGUUGAACGAUUUUACAUGUGUGUCUAAAAUGCAGCGUUGGUUCC
rnacentral:lncRNA from 1 species